AGCGUACACGGUGGAUGCCCUGGCAGUCAGAGGCGAUGAAGGGCGUGCUAAUCUGCGAUAAGCGCCGGUAAGGUGAUAUGAACCGUUAUAACCGGCGAUACCCGAAUGGGGAAACCCAGUGUGACUCGUCACACUAUCAUUAACUGAAUCCAUAGGUUAAUGAGGCGAACCGGGGGAACUGAAACAUCUAAGUACCCCGAGGAAAAGAAAUCAACCGAGAUUCCCCCAGUAGCGGCGAGCGAACGGGGAGGAGCCCAGAGCCUGAAUCAGCAUGUGUGUUAGUGGAAGCGUCUGGAAAGGCGCGCGAUACAGGGUGACAGCCCCGUACACAAAAGCGCAUGUGCUGUGAGCUCGAUGAGUAGGGCGGGACACGUGGUAUCCUGUCUGAAUAUGGGGGGACCAUCCUCCAAGGCUAAAUACUCCUGACUGACCGAUAGUGAACCAGUACCGUGAGGGAAAGGCGAAAAGAACCCCGGCGAGGGGAGUGAAAAAGAACCUGAAACCGUGUACGUACAAGCAGUGGGAGCACAGGUUUACCUGUGUGACUGCGUACCUUUUGUAUAAUGGGUCAGCGACUUAUAUUCUGUAGCAAGGUUAACCGAAUAGGGGAGCCGGAGGGAAACCGAGUCUUAAUUGGGCGUUAAGUUGCAGGGUAUAGACCCGAAACCCGGUGAUCUAGCCAUGGGCAGGUUGAAGGUUGGGUAACACUAACUGGAGGACCGAACCGACUAAUGUUGAAAAAUUAGCGGAUGACCUGUGGCUGGGGGUGAAAGGCCAAUCAAACCGGGAGAUAGCUGGUUCUCCCCGAAAGCUAUUUAGGUAGCGCCUCGUGAAUUCAUCUCCGGGGGUAGAGCACUGUUUCGGCUAGGGGGCCAUCCCGGCUUACCAACCCGAUGCAAACUGCGAAUACCGGAGAAUGUUAUCACGGGAGACACACGGCGGGUGCUAACGUCCGUCGUGAAGAGGGAAACAACCCAGACCGCCAGCUAAGGUCCCAAAGUCAUGGUUAAGUGGGAAACGAUGUGGGAAGGCCCAGACAGCCAGGAUGUUGGCUUAGAAGCAGCCAUCAUUUAAAGAAAGCGUAAUAGCUCACUGGUCGAGUCGGCCUGCGCGGAAGAUGUAACGGGGCUAAACCAUGCACCGAAGCUGCGGCAGCGACACUGUGUGUUGUUGGGUAGGGGAGCGUUCUGUAAGCCUGUGAAGGUGUGUCGUGAGGCAUGCUGGAGGUAUCAGAAGUGCGAAUGCUGACAUAAGUAACGAUAAAGCGGGUGAAAAGCCCGCUCGCCGGAAGACCAAGGGUUCCUGUCCAACGUUAAUCGGGGCAGGGUGAGUCGACCCCUAAGGCGAGGCCGAAAGGCGUAGUCGAUGGGAAACGGGUUAAUAUUCCCGUACUUGGUGUUACUGCGAAGGGGGGACGGAGAAGGCUAUGUUGGCCGGGCGACGGUUGUCCCGGUUUAAGCGUGUAGGUGUGUGUUCCAGGUAAAUCCGGUUCACUUUAACACUGAGGCGUGACGACGAGGCACUACGGUGCUGAAGCAACAAAUGCCCUGCUUCCAGGAAAAGCCUCUAAGCAUCAGGUAACAUCAAAUCGUACCCCAAACCGACACAGGUGGUCAGGUAGAGAAUACCAAGGCGCUUGAGAGAACUCGGGUGAAGGAACUAGGCAAAAUGGUGCCGUAACUUCGGGAGAAGGCACGCUGACACGUAGGUGAAGUGAUUUACUCAUGGAGCUGAAGUCAGUCGAAGAUACCAGCUGGCUGCAACUGUUUAUUAAAAACACAGCACUGUGCAAACACGAAAGUGGACGUAUACGGUGUGACGCCUGCCCGGUGCCGGAAGGUUAAUUGAUGGGGUCAGCGCAAGCGAAGCUCCUGAUCGAAGCCCCGGUAAACGGCGGCCGUAACUAUAACGGUCCUAAGGUAGCGAAAUUCCUUGUCGGGUAAGUUCCGACCUGCACGAAUGGCGUAAUGAUGGCCAGGCUGUCUCCACCCGAGACUCAGUGAAAUUGAACUCGCUGUGAAGAUGCAGUGUACCCGCGGCAAGACGGAAAGACCCCGUGAACCUUUACUAUAGCUUGACACUGAACAUUGAGCCUUGAUGUGUAGGAUAGGUGGGAGGCUUUGAAGUGUGGACGCCAGUCUGCAUGGAGCCGACCUUGAAAUACCACCCUUUAAUGUUUGAUGUUCUAACGUGGACCCGUUACCCGGGUUGCGGACAGUGUCUGGUGGGUAGUUUGACUGGGGCGGUCUCCUCCUAAAGAGUAACGGAGGAGCACGAAGGUUGGCUAAUCCUGGUCGGACAUCAGGAGGUUAGUGCAAUGGCAUAAGCCAGCUUGACUGCGAGCGUGACGGCGCGAGCAGGUGCGAAAGCAGGUCAUAGUGAUCCGGUGGUUCUGAAUGGAAGGGCCAUCGCUCAACGGAUAAAAGGUACUCCGGGGAUAACAGGCUGAUACCGCCCAAGAGUUCAUAUCGACGGCGGUGUUUGGCACCUCGAUGUCGGCUCAUCACAUCCUGGGGCUGAAGUAGGUCCCAAGGGUAUGGCUGUUCGCCAUUUAAAGUGGUACGCGAGCUGGGUUUAGAACGUCGUGAGACAGUUCGGUCCCUAUCUGCCGUGGGCGCUGGAGAACUGAGGGGGGCUGCUCCUAGUACGAGAGGACCGGAGUGGACGCAUCACUGGUGUUCGGGUUGUCAUGCCAAUGGCACUGCCCGGUAGCUAAAUGCGGAAGAGAUAAGUGCUGAAAGCAUCUAAGCACGAAACUUGCCCCGAG
rnacentral:rRNA from 1 species